rnacentral:rRNA from 1 species
UACGUAGGGGGCAAGCGUUGUCCGGAUUUAUUGGGCGUAAAGAGCGUGUAGGCGGCCAUACAGGUCCGUUGUGAAAACUGGAGGCUUAACCUCCAGACGUCGAUGGAAACCGUAUGGCUAGAGUCCGGAAGAGGAGAGUGGAAUUCCUGGUGUAGCGGUGAAAAUGCGCAGAUAUCAGGAAGAACACCCGUGGCGAAGGCGGCUCUCUGGGACGGUACUGACGCUGAGACGCGAAAGCGUGGGGGAGCGAACAGG